GGAGAUGUGGCCGAGUGGCCGAAGGCACAUCCCUGCUAAGGAUGCAUAUGGGGUAACCUGUAUCGUGAGUUCGAAUCUCACCAUCUCCGCCA
rnacentral:tRNA from 1 species